rnacentral:rRNA from 1 species
ACGCUCGACAUCUACGGGAAGCAGCAGUGAGGAAUAUUGGUCAAUGGACGCAAGUCUGAACCAGCCAUGCCGCGUGCAGGAUGACGGCUCUAUGAGUUGUAAACUGCUUUUGUACGAGGGUAAACGCAGAUACGUGUAUCUGUCUGAAAGUAUCGUACGAAUAAGGAUCGGCUAACUCCGUACCAGCAGCCGCGGUAAUCUGAGCGGGCGUGGCAAGGC